AUGCUCGCUUUGGCAGCACAUGUACUAAAACUGGAAUGAUAUGAAGAAGAUUAGCAUGGCCCCUGCUCCAGGAUGACAUGCAAAUUCAUGAAGCAUGCCAUGUUUGA
ensembl:snRNA U6 U6 spliceosomal RNA